rnacentral:rRNA from 1 species
UACGGAGGGGGCUAGCGUUGUUCGGAAUUACUGGGCGUAAAGCGCACGUAGGCGGCUUUGUAAGUUAGAGGUGAAAGCCCGGGGCUCAACUCCGGAAUUGCCUUUAAGACUGCAUCGCUAGAAUUGUGGAGAGGUGAGUGGAACUGCGAGUGUAGAGGUGAAAUUCGUAGAUAUUCGCAAGAACACCAGUGGCGAAGGCGGCUCACUGGCCCGGUACUGACGCUGAGGUGCGAAAGCGUGGGGAGCAAACAGG